UAAAAAAAAAAUCCGUUGGCUUUAUUGACCGUGAGGGUUCAAGUCCC
rnacentral:tRNA from 1 species